GCAGAUUGUAAAGAAAUAUUCCAUAGAUCAAGAUGAGUACCAUAUUUGCAGCUAUUGUGUUUUCUCUGUUUCUUGUGAGUUGUAGUUUUGGUCAGCAAUUCUCAGAAUUGGACGGAAAUAAAAACCAGAAACUGGAAUACGCUGAAUUUGAAGGUUUAUUCAAUAUGUAUGAUUUGGAUGGUAACAGUGAAGUUAGUCUGGCGGAGGUUAUAACGAAAGCUGGAUUGACACAAGCUCAAGCCCUCGGUGUAUUUAAAGUAUAUGAUAUAAAUGGAGACGGAAGAGUGGAUAUAUCUGAAUUAGGAAAUUUAUUCUCUAAAUUUGAUAUUAAUGGCGAUGGGUCAGUGUCUCCAACCGAAUUCAAUCAACACGCUAAAGAUUUACAGCCAACAGGAAGAUGAACUGAUUCACAUC